GCUUACGAAAGAAAAAGAACAAAAAACUGCGCAAUGAAACGUCUUAAGAAAGAAGACAAAAAACUGCGCAAUGAGAACCUUCACGCACAAACUGAAACGUCUUAAGAAUAAAGAUCUGUUUGUGUAAAAGUGACGGCAACGCACGCCUUCGAUCUUCAGCUCGCAUUCAUCAUCGCCUUCGACCUUCAUCUCCGUUCAUCAUCGCCGCCGACCUUUGUCUCCAUUCAUCAUCGCCGUCGACCUUUGUCUUUGUUCAUCAUCGUCGUCGACCUUCGUCUUUACCGAAUGGUCGUUCUCAUCGUGGAUUACCGGCGUCAUUGUCGCCUCUGGAUGUCUUCUACGCGCCUUCAACAAUUCCAGCGUCGUGUGCAUCCAACAAACUUCGUACGGCGUCACGCUUCAGAGUGAUCUCACGGAUUGCAGAAAGAAGACAGAAAACUCACCGGUUUGACACGGCGGCGUAAACAGACUGAAGGACUUGAAGACUGAAGACUGAAGACGAUGAAAGAAGUUGAAGAUUGAAGUGAAGAAAAUGAUCCCAAAACCUCAGGGAAUGGCAAUGAGUGAUUUAUAUAGAAGAGAAGUGUAACCGAAUCGGGCAAUGGCUUCAGCUAGGUUUGUUAAUUUAGGGCAGGUUCAGGUUGUUAGGAAAUCAGUUAGAUAUUACUGGCUUUGUGAAGUUCUGUUAUUAAAAUGUUAGUUUUCAGUUUGCAGUGUGGUUUAUCCACUCAAAAAUUGUUUCUUAACACUUGAGGUCUAAUUUAAAAAAAAUGCACGGUGAGUAUUUAUGAUUUUUUCUAUUAUAUUUCAAUGUGAAAUCAUGUCAUGACCCUUCUGCUAUGUGUUAUGCAGGGUCUUACUUAUGCUAGACAUUUUAUGGAGGAAGAAAAAAUGUCGGUGGAUUGGAAGGUUACAUAACCAGCUUGGAUUGAUGCUAAGGUGAAUCAAAGGACGCCAUGUGAACAGCGAAUUACUAAGCUUGGACUUAUGAAUAGGAUUGAAUGUGUAUGAAAUUAAAUAAUUAUGGAACAUAUAUAAUAAGAUUUUUAAUGAAUGCAUUAUGAUUAGAAAUA